rnacentral:misc_RNA from 1 species
GAUGAAGAACGCAGCGAAAUGCGAUAAGUAAUGCGAAUUGCAGAAUCCGUGAGUCAUCGAAUCUUUGAACGCACAUUGCGCCCGCGAGUAUUCUCGCGGGCAUGCCUGUCCGAGCGUCAUUUCAACCCUCAGGGCCCGCCUGCUUCGGCAGGCGCGGCGCUGGUGUUGGGGAUCGGCCUAACCGCCGUCCCCCAAAUACAGUGGCGGUCUCGCUGCAGCCUCCCCUGCGUAGUAGCAACACUCGCAUGCGGAGCGCGGCGCGGCCACGCCGUAAAACCCCCGACUUUCUGAACGUUGACCUCGGAUCAGGUAGGAAUACCCGCUGAACUUAAGCAUAUCAAUAAGCGGAGGA